AAAUAUGCAAUUUUGGAUAAAAAACAUGUUUCCCCAAAAAAAAUCAGUACAUAUAAACAAAAGACUGGCGGAUUUGAACCUGGGAUCUGCGGUUCACCAGACCAAUGCUAUGACCACUGAGCUAACCGACUUGAAUAAAGAAUUACAGACUUCCAGAACAGGUGCAUCAUGCAGAUCCUUUUAAAAAGGAGAGGCCAGAUCUUCAGAUGACUUUAUUGAAAAUGAGAAAUUUCUGAGUGGAAGUGACGAAUGUGGCAUGCAUACAAGCAGACAUCAGCAUUCCCUCCCUCUUGUUUGUAUCAGAGGUGAGCUUUUUGAGAAAGACUCAUGGAGGAAGUUUGAGAGUGUCAGUUCUCAGAUCAAAAAGUUAGCUAGCAGUAGGAGGAGUAGCAAUUCAUUCCACAGUAUGACAUGAGAAAUACAUGACUAGAAAGACCUUAAAAAGGAGAUUUGGCAUUGUUUCAUGUGGAGAUUAAAGAACCUUCGAAAUGUAUAACACAGACAUGUUUCAGUUACUUGGGGAUAACACUUAUGAGGAAUUUUGCUAACUUUCAGAUUGGAAUGUGUUGCACAAGAAAUGCUUGAUCACAACCCUCUUCUGUUAAAAUCCUUUUCUAUGCAAAUAAUUAGUGUAAAUGAAAUUUAGCUAUUUCAUUAGUAAACAUGUUUUCUGGGCAAGUGUGUGUCUUUGACAUUAAAUGCUAUGAUAUUGUCGUAUUCUUAAACAAUGGAAGAUCUCUACUAGUUCUUUCAAAGGAAAGCCAACAACAGGAAUCGAACCUGUUCCUCCAUUGUACAGAUACGAAAGUGUGCACCAUUACACCAUGUUGGCAUACAUUAAGAACUGGUAGCCUCGGAGAGUAAAUAUUGCAUUAUUCUUGUACAGUUGAUACUGGUUAUUGUGAUAUAUGUAUAUAUACAAGUAUAUAUAAUGUAUGCCUCAUGUUUGGUAGUCGUCAAUAAAGCAUUUGAAUUGAA